GGCAGGGAGAGCGCAGGGAAGGAGGGAGAAGGGGAGGGAGGCAGGGAGAGCGCAGGGAAGGAGGGAGACGGGGAGGCAGGCAGGGAGAGCGCAGGGAAGGAGGGAGACGGGGAGGCAGGCAGGGAGAGAAGCAGGCAAGCAGAGAGAGAGGCAGGGAUGGAGAGAGGCAGGCAGGGAGGGAAGCAGGCAAGCAGAGAGGGAGGCAGGGAUGGAGAGAGGCAGGCAGGGAGAGAAGCAGGCAAGCAGAGAGAGAGGCAGGGAUGGAGAGAGGCAGGCAGGGAGAGAGGCAGGCAGGGAGAGAGGGAGGCAGGGAUGGAGAUAGGCAGGCAGGGAGAGAGGCAGGCAGGGAGAGAGGGAGGCAGGGAUGGAGAUAGGCAGGCAGGGAGAGAGGCAGGCAGGGAGAGAGGCAGGCAGGGAUGGAGA
ensembl:lncRNA